CCUCCUUCCUCCUGGCUGCCAGGCAAAUGGUGCAAGUUGCAGGGAAGGAGGCAGAGGGAUUGGUCUCCUGGGUUUGGUGGUGGUCGCUGCGGAUGAGGAGGAGGAGAGGAGGAGGAAGGGAUGGCAGCUCUGAUGCUAGCAGAGGCAGGGGUGGGAGUUUGUCAGCAGACUCCCCCCACCAACCCCUACAGGUUGUCUGAACCCCUGUGGUGGUGGAAGCUGAGCCUUCAAAACUUGGGGACACGUGGCUGUCACGGAGCAUGGCGGGGAACUGGGGGGACACUGCAGCCUGGCUGUGUUCGGUGAUGUCUUGUGUGACUGCAGGGUCCUGCAGUGUGGGGUUGGGCUGUGCGUUGUCCCCGUGUGUGAUGUUGAGGUCUUUCUGGGGUGACCGGGGUGUGCUCAGCACCUCCAUGGUGUGUUUUCCCACCAUAGCUGCAUUGCAUGAGCUGUCCCAACAGCCAUGGCCCUGGAGUGCCCCCAGGCGAUGCUCAGAUCCUGCGUUCAGUUCCUCAGGGCUGCAGGGAAGCAGAGGGUGAGUGCGAAGGGGUGAUCAAGAAGCCUCCUCCAACAAGGCAAAACCAUAAGUAUUUGAAAAAAAUACCAUUUUUUAUGCCAACCUCCUGGUGAUGGGGUCCAGGCAGUGUGUCAAAGGUGACGGCACAUCGGGGCCACAGUGCAGACCCCAUCCCCACGGCUAUCCCGAGCGUGACUCAGUUUCCUUCAUCCCCAGCACAAACCCUCUCUGGCGAUGGGUGGUCAGUGUGGCUUUGGGUGGCCCCGAGGGGCAUCCUUGGGGCAGGGACACAGCCACAGAGCAGUGCCACCACAUCCUGGGUGCCGUCUCCCCUCUCCCUCCAUCUCCCUCUCUCCGUGUCUGACUGCAGCAGAUGCGCCAGCUCUGCAGGAAGAGGGAAUUAAGUUGGGCUGGAGGAAUUUUAAAGAUUGCUGCAGGCCUGAGGGUCUUAGAUACCCCUGUGGAGAUGGGCAGUCAUGCAGAAUUAAUCCUAUCGGCAGCCUGGCUCGCCUUCAGCCGGUGCAGAUCUCCAGGAGAGCGCGAGGGAGCGCGGGGGGCGAUGCUGGGGGCAGCUGGGCGAG
ensembl:lncRNA